AAAAACAGAAACCUGCUACAAAACACAAGACAAACCGUUCAGUAUUGCUGAUGUUUUUACCCCACACUCUAAACACGUUUUUUGUUUUAAAUAAACAUUUGAAUUCGUUAUUAAUCAUUCUUCCUUGUUUUUGUAAAAAAACGUUGACAUUACUAAAUAUAAUUAGUUGUUUGAACUAUUCAGACGAAAUGUUGAAUGCAGAGUGAUUAUGUUAACUUUCUUACAGUUACAGUCAACAGAAAUAUUUAGAUACAAUAAACAACAUAUAUUUUGCACACAAAUACUAUAAACCUCACUCUUCUUCUUCUUCUUCUUCUUCUUCUUUCUUUUACAAAUUAACAGUUUAUGAAAGUUUUAAUAAAUAAAAUACACAAUAGUUUAUUGACUCACUUGUUGUAUUGGAGCUUUGCAUGUUCGAUGAUUCCAGAACUGAACUCUCUUCCCUGGACUUGGAGGAAAACCCUACUUCUCCCAGAGCACAGAAUAAACAAAAGCCUAUAUUACUAGAAAAAUGAUUCAUACUCAAAUAGAAUAUACUUUAUCUGAUAACUGGCAAGGGGGGAGUGCCAAUGUACAGGGGGCAUGUUUACUGGUCAAAUGAGUGCCAGUCAGUCAAGUCCGUCCCACAGUACACAGCAAAGCUGGAGAUGAUGUUAACCGAAACACUUGGAGAGGGUUUUGUGGUUUAGUUUGUGGUUUUUCGCUCAACAUUCAUCUCGACCCUACAGAGGGUUUGUGGUUAGAAGGAAAAUCACAGGUGGAAAGUAAAUUACCUACUGUACUAUUUAAUAUGUGGUUGUUAUUUCUGUUGUUACUACUGGAGGGCAGUAUGUGAUAAUUGAUAUAAAGAGCACAAUGAGAAAAGGACGCUGUGAAGUGAUGUAACAAUAUUUGUUGUUAUGAAAAUGUCAGCAGUAUUUAUUGAGAAACAGCCUCUUUAUUUGAGAAAUACAACAUCUGCCUCCACCCUAAACCUACUUCUUACUCAUAUCCCUUAAUCAUUCCUCCACCCUUACCCUAAUUUCGAUAAAACAAUUCUGGGAACUAAAGGCGCCUCGGAUAUCCUUUUGAUUACCCCAUUGAUAACUUAAAAAUGUAUUUUUUUUUAUAACUUAAUGUAUAACUUAAAAAUGUAUUUUAAGUGCCUCAAAGCUCUUUUUCUCAUAAUAGGAUUCAUUGAGGAACCAUAGUCUUUGCAGUUUGUGCAGGAGCUCCUUUCCUCAAAGAACCAACCGCUGCUCAAGGUCAUAAAGGCAGUCGCAGUAUAUUUCGGCUAUGAGUGAAACGCAUGGCGGCGGUCUCAGCCGUGAGCAGUUCCCCGCCGAACACGACUCCAGCUCGGGCACGAGAACCAGCGCGGCGCGGCGCGGCGCGGCGCAGUUACGGUGGAAAUUACUUCUGUUUAACGUUUAAUUUUUACUUUGAAUGUUUGUUAAGCGAGUUUAAAUAUGGGGAAUAUCUAUAGCCUAUUAAAACGAUAUAAAUAAUGCUGUAAAUGAUACAUAAAGGAAAUUAAAGGAAGUUAUCAUGCAACCAGUGGUUGUGUGGAGUAGGCUAUGUUAGAAAAAAAUAGAGGAUUUAAAUUAAUCUGUAAACAUUAUUUAAUGUAUGAAGUAAAAAGCUAGUAUAGUAAAAAUUAAUAAACCAUAGCUGGGUUAAAUCAACCCUUUAUGCUGGGUUAAAUAAACAACCCAAUUUGGGUAAAAUUAACCCAAGAUGUUCUGUCCUAUAUUUACCUAUAUUUAUUUAUUUAAUUCGUUUUGUCGUUUAAACAACUUUAAUGAGCAUAUUUGAUCUAUAAUGCGCGCUGCUGUCGUGUGGGUCUGUCAGGUUAACAUAAAGCCUAAUUCAUCAAUUUCUCCCGAAAUACAUAUAGCAUCUUAUCUUGUGAGUUUCCAUUAGACCAAACAUUCAAAAGCACAUCGCCAAAUUAUCUCGACAUGCUAUUUGAGCUGAUUUUUUUUGUUCUAUUUGCAUCAUGGAAUGACAGAAUUAUAACACUUAUAAAAGUAUAGUUUAAUAGGUGUCUGACUAUCAGUUUUGCCCUACCUGUAGGCAUGAAGAUGGCUUGAGGAUGCUGGAGUUUAAUGACUGCAACGUUAGUAAAGCACCAUUUAGACAAAAUGGUUAUAUGGCAUCGUGAAGCACAUUUAUUUUUUAAGAGUGUAUACAACAAUCAACACACACUAAACUAUAUAUUUCAUCAACGGAUUAUGGAAAAUUUGAUGAAAAUCUGAAAGUGAUUUUUUAUUUGGACGAUUUGUAAAUCAUGGGUGAAGUCUUGACUGAGAGUAAAGAAAUAUAAGUGUAAUUGGGAACAAAUACGGACUGAAAAUUCAAGAUGCUCCAGCUCCUUCAAAUGUAAAAUAACUGUGAGCCUUUUAAUCCUGGUAAAUUAUGGACAUUUAGUAAUAUACACGCAUAAUUGGCACAAUAGACUUUUUUUUUCUUCAAAUGUUUUUUAUUUUUAUUAAGUGUUACAGAAAGUUACUAUACAGAAAUAUAUCAAUAGAAAUAAAGUCCCAAA
ensembl:lncRNA